CCUUAGCCUUCUCAGUAGCUUCCUUGUGCCUUUGCAGUGCUAACUUGUCCUCGCUCAUAGUCAAGCAAUGCACCAUAAAAAUCUGCGCCACCAACGAAAGUAUCAACAUUGGUUGCCUUGACCUAAAAAGGUGACGAAAUUAAGAAUUACAACAUCUAUCUCAACACCUGCAUAGAGAAUCUGUACAAGAUAUGAGAAGUAGAUUACCUCAACACUCCAUUGAUAACUCAACAAUUGACACAUUCAGAGGUACAUUCAGAAGGUACAUGCACCGAACCCUGGUGUUGGCAAUAUGUUAUGGUCUUUUUAAAAGUAGAGACUUUUUUUUU
rnacentral:lncRNA from 1 species